AUUUUAACCUAUUGCAAUAUCCUCAAAGUUCCAGGUCCUGCCUGAUCUUGGAAGCUAAGCAAGGUCAGCCCUGGUUAAUACUUGGAUAGGAGACAGCCCAGGAACCCCAGGUGCUCUAAACU
rnacentral:rRNA from 11 species